rnacentral:rRNA from 1 species
GAGCGAACGCUGGCGGCAGGCCUAACACAUGCAAGUCGAACGAACCCUUCGGAGUUAGUGGCGGACGGGUGAGUGACACGUGGGAACGUGCCUUUUGGUUCGGAAUAACUCAGGGAAACUUGUGCUAAUACCGAAUGUGCCCUUCGGGGGAAAGAUUUAUCGCCAUUAGAGCGGCCCGCGUCUGAUUAGCUAGUUGGUGAGGUAACGGCUCACCAAGGCGACGAUCAGUAGCUGGUCUGAGAGGAUGACCAGCCACACUGGGACUGAGACACGGCCCAGACUCCUACGGGAGGCAGCAGUGGGGAAUCUUGCGCAAUGGGCGAAAGCCUGACGCAGCCAUGCCGCGUGAAUGAUGAAGGUCUUAGGAUUGUAAAAUUCUUUCACCGGGGACGAUAAUGACGGUACCCGGAGAAGAAGCCCCGGCUAACUUCGUG